UAGGGAAUAUUGCUCAAUGGGGGAAACCCUGAAGCAGCAACGCCGCGUGAGUGAUGAAGGCCUUCGGGUCGUAAAGCUCUGUUGUACGGGGCGAAUGCGGGUAUGGCUAAUAUCCAUAUCCAGUGACAGUACCGUAUAAGAAAGGACCGGCUAACUUCGUGCCAGCAGCCGCGGUAAGACGGGGGGUCCAAGCGUUGUUCGGAAUCAUUGGGCGUAAAGCGUGUGCAGGUGGUCUUGUAAGUUGGAUGUGAAAGCCCCGGGCUUAACCCGGGAAGUGCAUUCAAAACUGCAAAACUUGAGUAUGGAAGAGGGUCGUGGAAUUCCAGGUGUAGUGGUGAAAUACGUAGAUAUCUGGAGGAACACCGGUGGCGAAGGCGGCGACCUGGUCCUAUACUGACACUCAUACACGAAAGCGUGGGGAUCAAACAGGAUUAGAUACCCCCGUAGUCC
rnacentral:rRNA from 1 species